GGACUACUCGGGUUUCUAAUCCUGUUUGCUCCCCACGCUUUCGUGCAUGAGCGUCAGUGCAGGCCCAGGGGAUUGCCUUCGCCAUCGGUGUUCCUUGUCAUAUCUACGCAUUUCACUGCUACACGACAAAUUCCAUCCCCCUCUGCCGCACUCGAGCUUUGCAGUCACAAAGGCCAUUCCCAGGUUGAGCCCGGGGAUUUCACCUCUGUCUUACAAAACCGCCUGCGCACGCUUUACGCCCAGUAAUUCCGAUUAACGCUCGCACCCUACGUAUUACCGCGGCUGCUGGCAC
rnacentral:rRNA from 1 species